GCGGAAGUGGCGAAAUUGGUAGACGCGCUGGAUUUAGGUUCCAGUGUCUAACGACGUGAGAGUUCGAGUCUCUCCUUCCGCACCA
rnacentral:tRNA from 2 species